UUUUCCACAAUAACUUUUUAUUGGUAACAAUCAGAGAAAUUGAGUAGUUCCACCCCAGAUUCUCUCCGUACUGUGUUUUCCCCGACUUUAAUCACGGCGCUAGUUUGACUAAGAAGGCGUUUGCGAAGAGGAUGCUGUUGUCUGAGUUUCCGGCUCAACGCUUUCAAAAUCUACAGAAGAGACAAGAAAGUAACAGGCCCGUCGGCAUUUGCGUCGAUUUUCGCCGAUUUGCAUUCCUACUAUUUUUAAUGGACAAUUUAGGGAUGCCAAGUUGAUUGUUCAAAACUGGAUUUGCACUAGCUGGCUGGAAAAGGGUAAAUAACUAUUUCAACCUCUGUUGAAUUGAACUGUCCAAGACUGACUAGAGGACGACCAUUUGGAAUUGUAGAAACAUUACGAGGAAUUAUUGCGAUGGGGUCCCAUACAUUCUCUGUAAUACUAUUUUCUAAUUUGAGACUUAUGUUAUAUUGCUAUACUAUUUUAUCAUGUUUCAUUCCAUCUGACGAUUACUAAAAAGUGAUCUAUUUUGUUUAGAAAUAUAGUUUGUAAUUUUCUUAAGUUUUAAUUAUUGUUACAUGUUUUUAAGCCUGU